AGGGUUUGAUUCUGGCUCAGGAUGAACGCUGGCGGCGUGCCUAACACAUGCAAGUCGAGCGAGAAAUCCGCGAAGGAAGCUUCGGCCAAAUUUGCGGAUGGAAAGCGGCGGACGGGUGAGUAACGCGUAGGUAACCUGCCCCAUACAGAGGGAUAGCCACUGGAAACGGUGAUUAAUACCUCAUAACACGAGUCUUUCGCAUGGAAGAGUCGUCAAAGAUUUAUCGGUAUGGGAUGGACCUGCGUCUGAUUAGCUAGUUGGUGGGGUAACGGCCUACCAAGGCGACGAUCAGUAGCCGACCUGAGAGGGUGAUCGGCCACAUUGGAACUGAGACACGGUCCAA
rnacentral:rRNA from 1 species